rnacentral:rRNA from 1 species
AACGAACGCUGGCGGCAUGCCUAACACAUGCAAGUCGAACGAGACCUUCGGGUCUAGUGGCGCACGGGUGCGUAACGCGUGGGAACCUGCCCUUAGGUUCGGAAUAACUCCCCGAAAGGGGUGCUAAUACCGGAUAAUGUCUUCGGACCAAAGAUUUAUCGCCUUUGGAUGGGCCCGCGUUGGAUUAGCUAGUUGGUAGGGUAAAAGCCUACCAAGGCGACGAUCCAUAGCUGGUCUGAGAGGAUGAUCAGCCACACUGGGACUGAGACACGGCCCAGACUCCUACGGGAGGCAGCAGUGGGGAAUAUUGGACGAUGGGCGAAAGCCUGAUACAGCAAUGCCGCGUGAGUGAUGAAGGCCUUAGGGUUGUAAAGCUCUUUUACCCGGGAUGAUAAUGACAGUACCGGGAGAAUAGGCGCCGGCUAACUCCGUG